GAUUUUACCUGGCAGUAGACACACCAUCGUCAGGCAGGGUGAGGCUCAUUCCUUGCAUUUUGGGGUGUGCUGAGCCCCGUGGUUUCCCCAAAUGCAGGAAACUCAACUGCAUGACGUGUGGUAGCAGGGGACUGUGUUUUUUCUUAAUUUUUU
rnacentral:snRNA from 1 species